rnacentral:sRNA from 1 species
GCCGGGCGUGGUGGUGCACGCCUGUAAUCCCAGCUACUUUGGAGGCUGAGGCAGGAGAAUCGCUUGAACCUGGGAGGCAGAGGUUGCAGUGAGCCGAGAUUGUGCCACUGCAUUCCAGCCUUUGUGACAGAGCAAGACCCCGUCUCAA